UGGAUAUGACAUCAAACGCAUUAACAGAAUCCUGUAAAAGUAAACUGGCCCCUUCAUGGCUCUCAAUGCCAAGUCCAAUAAGUCCAA